GUUAAUGGCAUGUUGAGAGUAUGCUAGUGAGAUAGUUUAUGUGCAAGUUUGAUACUAUAUAGUUAUUAUCUUUCGUACUUUAAUAAUAGAUAGUUGGCUAAACAUGUAAAGUUAAUGAGCUAAAGUAAGUGGUAGGAUUUUCGCUACGAGUUUAAGAAUUGUUUCAAGUUUCGAGGACGAAACUUAUUUUUAAGGGGGUAGAUUGUAACACCCCGAUUUUUGAAAUAGUUUAUUAUUUAUUUUAUUAACUAUAUUAUAUAUUUUAGUUUAUUUAAUAAUUAAAUUCAUUUAUCUUUAGAAAAAAUUUUGUAAAUAAUUUAUAUGCUUAUAGUGGGACAAGUUUAGUAAGUAAUUUAACUAGUAAUAGUAAUAAGAGGAAAUUUAUUCACAUAUAUGUAAGACGGGGGGGAAAGGGAAAAAUAAAACAAGAAAAGAAAAAGGAAAGAAAAAAAAAAUAACAAAACUUACAAAAGAACGACAUUCAAACGGUGCUUCACCACCGUUCACCAUCUUCACCAUCUUCUUCUCUCAAAAUCUUUAACAUUCUUCCUUCAUCACACAACCACCACCGCUGCCGACAAUACAACCACAACCGCCACUAGAGGUGACACUAUAGAAGUAGGCGGUGCAAGGAAGAGCAAAGGGGGUCAUCGUUGUUGUAAUUUGGAGCAUUUAGUGCCCGAAUUAGGGGCGUUUGCAAGUUAUUUUUCAUCCCCAAUCUUCUAUAAUUAGUGGGUAAGAUUAAUUCCUCAACUAAUUUAAGUUUUCUUUUAAAAUUAUGAAAUUAGGGUUUUUAGAUUGAAAUUGAAUUAGGAUUUUUGAUUUUUAGAGUUUGGGUGUGGAAUUUAUUGAGUUGAAUGUUCAUUCAUGAGUUUAAUAGUUAAUUUAGAAUAGUAGGAAUGUUCAAGUGAAUAUAGUGUGCUGUAAUUCGUAGAAUUACCAGUUCAGGUUUGUAUAAGUUGUUUGUAUUGAAAUUUUACUCAAUAUAGGCUCAAGAAACGCUUGAUUUGGACUUCGUAGGAGAAAGUUAUGCGCAUAUUAAGUUUUGUUCAAAUUUCAUAGUUUAUAUAGUUGAUUUUAAAACUCUACCUAUUCAUAUAAUUGUUUCAUAAUGAACUUUUGAGUUACCAUAUGAACAUAUGAUUCUUUAAUGUUGAUUUUAUAUAAAGUAAGAUGAUUUUCAUUAAUUUGGUAAGGGUUUUAGUUAGACGGUUUAGUUAGACGGUUUGACUUAGACGGUUUGAGUUAGACGUUAGAACAUGAAAGUCAUUUAUAUGGUUAAAGAACAUGAUAUGUUUGUUUGAUAUUUUAUGUGAAAUUAGAAAAGGUUGAUGGCUUUGUGAACUAGAGUUAGUUGUAUCCAAGUCUUUUACUUACGAAGUACACACAUUUAUAUUGUAGAUUCCGGUUUCAUUGAGGAGCCGUAUUGACUGAGCUAGUUGGUUUGAUAUAGUUUAAAAGGUACAUGAAGGCUUAGAGUCGGGGUAUGGGCGGAGAGCAACGUCCACUAGUUUUGCGUAAAUAUAGUUAUAAUAGUUCUGUUCUGGUGCAUUUCUUAUAUAUAAUCAAUAUUUUGAAACUUAGGGUUGUAAAUAUUAAUCCACCUAAAUCUUUAUUCGGUUGGGUUGUAAUAGUUUAAAAUAAGCUUUAAUUUAGUUUUGGUGCA